CCUACGGGCGGCAGCAGUGGGGAAUAUUGCACAAUGGGGGAAACCCUGAUGCAGCGACGCCGCGUGAGUGAGGAAGUAUUUCGGUAUGUAAAGCUCUAUCAGCAGGGAAGAAAAUGACGGUACCUGACUAAGAAGCCCCGGCUAACUACGUGCCAGCAGCCGCGGUAAUACGUAGGGGGCAAGCGUUAUCCGGAUUUACUGGGUGUAAAGGGAGCGUAGACGGUUAAUCAAGUCAGAAGUGAAAACCCAGGGCUCAACCUUGGGACUGCUUUUGAAACUGAGUAGCUAGAGUGCAGGAGAGGUAAGCGGAAUUCCUAGUGUAGCGGUGAAAUGCGUAGAUAUUAGGAGGAACCCCGAUUGCGAAGGCAGCCUGCCGGGGUGCGACUGACGCUGAGGCUCGAAGGUGCGGGUAUCAAACAGGAUUAGAUACCCUUGUAGUC
rnacentral:rRNA from 1 species